rnacentral:rRNA from 1 species
GGGGGUGCAAGCGAGGGGAGAGGGGGCUAGACCUAGCCCUAGCCCCCCUCCGGUGGCUGCGCGGCGGCGAGGGGACUCCGGUGGCGGCGGCGUGCUCCGGCGUGGUGGGCCUCGCGGAAGCGGAGCGGCGGAGAGGCCGAGUGGAGGGGAGCGAGGCGAAAGGGGGUAGGGCUAAGACCUAGCCCCGUGGUUCAGGCGGCCGCGGGGUGGCGGUGUGCGGCGAGCGGAGGGGCAGUAGGGCGGCAGAGGCUGGCGGAGGUUCUGCCGAAGGGGCUGGAGGCGCAGGAGGGGAAGAAGGAGAUGUGGCUCGGUGCUCCUGGGCCUUCGGGGGCACUGCGGCGGGGCGACGAGCUGCGGCCUCGGAGGAGCGGCCUGACGGAGGGGUAGCGCGCGGCAGGUGCAGAAGGAGGGGCUCGGGGUGACGGGCACGGGAUGACGAGGGGAUGAUGCUCUGGCUGUGACGACGACGGGUCAAGCUGAUGCCUCAGCUGCUGGGGAG